rnacentral:rRNA from 1 species
UUGAACGCUAACGGCAUGCUUAACACAUGCAAGUCGAACGGCAGCACAGUGGUAGCAAUACCAUGGGUGGCGAGUGGCGGGACGGGUGAGUAAUAUAUAGGAAUCUGCCUUAUAGUGGGGGAUAACCCGGGGAAACUCGGGCUAAUACCGCAUAAUCUCUACGGAGCAAAGUGGGGGACCUUCGGGCCCUACGCUAAAAGAUGAGCCUAUAUCGGAUUAGCUAGUUGGUGGGGUAAAGGCCUACCAAGGCAACGAUCCGUAGCUGGUCUGAGAGGAUGAUCAGCCACACUGGGACUGAGACACGGCCCAGACUCCUACGGGAGGCAGCAGUGGGGAAUAUUGGACAAUGGGCGAAAGCCUGAUCCAGCAAUGCCGUGUGUGUGAAGAAGGCCUUCGGGUUGUAAAGCACUUUUAGUGGAGAAGAAAAGCUCAUGGCUAAUAUCCAUGAGUGCUGACGUUAUCCACAGAAAAAGCACUGGCUAACUCUGUGCCAGCAGCCGCGGUAGGUAACAGAGAGUGCGAGCGUCAAUCGGAAUUACUGGGCGUAAAGCGCACGUAGGUGGGGCUUUAAGUCAGAUGUGAAAUCCCCGGGCUUAACCUGGGAAUUGCAUUUGAUACUGGAGCUCUAGAAUAUGGUAGAGGGAAGUGGAAUUUCCGGUUGUAGCGGUGAAAUGCGUAGAUAUCGGAAGGAACAUCAGUGGCGAAAGCGGCUUCCUGGACCAAUAUUGACACUUAGGUGCGAAAGCGUGGGGAGCAAACAGGAUUAGAUACCCUGGUAGUCCACGCCCGUCAACGAUGAGAACUAGAUGUUGGGGAGUUUACUCCUUAGUAUCGAAGCUAACGCGUUAAGUUCUCCGCCUGGGGAGUACGGCCGCAAGGUUAAACUCAAAGAAAUUGACGGGGGCCCGCACAAGCGGUGGAGCAUGCGGUUUAAUUCGAUGCAACGCGAAGAACCUUACCUGCUCUUGACAUACUCGGAAUCUUUUGGAAACAAGAGAGUGCCUUCGGGAAUCGAGAUACAGGUGCUGCAUGGCUGUCGUCAGCUCGUGUCGUGAGAUGUUGGGUUAAGUCCCGUAACGAGCGCAACCCUCGUCCUUAGUUGCCAGCACGUAAUGGUGGGAACUCUAAGGAGACCGCCGGUGAUAAACCGGAGGAAGGUGGGGAUGAUGUCAAGUCAUCAUGGCCCUUAUGAGCAGGGCUACACGCGUGCUACAAUGGGCAGUACAAAGGGUUGCCAAGCCGCAAGGUGGAGCUAAUCCCAAAAAGCUGUUCGUAGUCCGGAUUGGGGUCUGCAACUCGACCCCAUGAAGUUGGAAUCGCUAGUAAUCGCGAAUCAGAACGUCGCGGUGAAUACGUUCUCGGGCCUUGUACACACCGCCCGUCACACCAUGGGAGUGAAUUGCACCAGAAGUAGUUAGCUUAACCGCAAGGGGGGCGAUUACCACGGUGUGCUUCAUGACUGGGGUG